AGAAAACGAUAUCAGUUUUUUUAUCUUCUUGCAAAGGGAAAAAGGCGAAAAAGGCCGGGGAUAGAGACUUUUAAUAAUAGAGUUAGGUCAGGGGGAUGAACCUGGUCGAAAUGACACAACCUGCACAUGUUCCACUUCACCUACGCUAUUUAAAUUGAAGUUUUAUGCAUGCUUUAUCAGGGAAUCUCUCAUGUGGUCCUCUCCGGUGCCCUAAAAAUGAGUACCUACUCAGAUACAGUAAUUCCUCGAAGUUAGUUAUCGUGUAUGCAUUUUGCCUCCCAUUUACUGUCCGUUAUUAUUCCAAUCCCCACGACAUCACAUCAUGUUACAAACAAGGUCCAUAGACCCGGAAAAGUUUUAGAGAAAUGAGAAAUAAAGGAGUACAGAGAAUUCGACUGAUGAAAUUCUAACCAAGGACCUCUUGGAAUCAGUUCGAGGCGGAUGACAUUUAAUUCCACAAGUACCAAACCCUUCUUUUCUAGCUGUUGACAUUAAUUCCACAUGUACCAGGUAGAUAAAUAUAGCAGCCUGUAGCUUAUCACCAGGAGGCUUUUAAUUAAUUGUCAUAUAUAUGAAGUUCUAGAGAGAAAUAUGUAUAUAUAUAACAUACAUAAUUAAAUCCCUGGUCGUCAAGUUAAGUAGACUC